rnacentral:rRNA from 1 species
UACGAAGGGGGCUAGCGUUGCUCGGAAUCACUGGGCGUAAAGGGUGCGUAGGCGGGUUUUUAAGUCAGGGUGAAAUCCUGGAGCUCAACUCCAGAACUGCCUUUGAUACUGAAGAUCUUGAGUCCGGGAGAGGUGAGUGGAAUUCCUGGUGUAGCGGUGGAAUGCGCAGAUAUCAGGAGGAACACCAAUAGCGAAGGCAGCUCGCUGGGACGGUACUGACACUGAGGCGCGAAAGCGUGGGGAGCGAACAGG